rnacentral:tRNA from 6 species
GGCGCCUUCGUCUAGCGGCCUAGGACACUGGGUUUUCAUCCCAGGAAUCGCGGGUUCGAUUCCCGCAGGCGUCA